rnacentral:rRNA from 1 species
GAUGAACGCUGGCGGCGUGCCUAAUACAUGCAAGUCGAGCGAACGGACGAGAAGCUUGCUUCUCUGAUGUUAGCGGCGGACGGGUGAGUAACACGUGGAUAACCUACCUAUAAGACUGGGAUAACUUCGGGAAACCGGAGCUAAUACCGGAUAAUAUUUUGAACCGCAUGGUUCAAAAGUGAAAGACGGUCUUGCUGUCACUUAUAGAUGGAUCCGCGCUGCAUUAGCUAGUUGGUAAGGUAACGGCUUACCAAGGCAACGAUGCAUAGCCGACCUGAGAGGGUGAUCGGCCACACUGGAACUGAGACACGGUCCAGACUCCUACGGGAGGCAGCAGUAGGGAAUCUUCCGCAAUGGGCGAAAGCCUGACGGAGCAACGCCGCGUGAGUGAUGAAGGUCUUCGGAUCGUAAAACUCUGUUAUUAGGGAAGAACAUAUGUGUAAGUAACUGUGCACAUCUUGACGGUACCUAAUCAGAAAGCCACGGCUAACUACGUGCCAGCAGCCGCGGUAAUACGUAGGUGGCAAGCGUUAUCCGGAAUUAUUGGGCGUAAAGCGCGCGUAGGCGGUUUUUUAAGUCUGAUGUGAAAGCCCACGGCUCAACCGUGGAGGGUCAUUGGAAACUGGAAAACUUGAGUGCAGAAGAGGAAAGUGGAAUUCCCAUGUGUAGCGGUGAAAUGCGCAGAGAUAUGGAGGAACACCAGUGGCGAAGGCGACUUUCUGGUCUGUAACUGACGCUGAUGUGCGAAAGCGUGGGGAUCAAACAGGAUUAGAUACCCUGGUAGUCCACGCCGUAAACGAUGAGUGCUAAGUGUUAGGGGGUUUCCGCCCCUUAGUGCUGCAGCUAACGCAUUAAGCACUCCGCCUGGGGAGUACGACCGCAAGGUUGAAACUCAAAGGAAUUGACGGGGACCCGCACAAGCGGUGGAGCAUGUGGUUUAAUUUCGAAGCAACGCGAAGAACCUUACCAAAUCUUGACAUUCUUUGACAACUCUAGAGAUAGAGCUUUCCCCUUCGGGGGACAAAGUGACAGGUGGUGCAUGGUUGUCGUCAGCUCGUGUCGUGAGAUGUUGGGUUAAGUCCCGCAACGAGCGCAACCCUUAAGCUUAGUUGCCAUCAUUAAGUUGGGCACCCUAAGUUGACUGCCGGUGACAAACCGGAGGAAGGUGGGGAUGACGUCAAAUCAUCAUGCCCCUUAUGAUUUGGGCUACACACGUGCUACAAUGGACAAUACAAAGGGCAGCGAAACCGCGAGGUCAAGCAAAUCCCAUAAAGUUGUUCUCAGUUCGGAUUGUAGUCUGCAACUCGACUACAUGAAGCUGGAAUCGCUAGUAAUCGUAGAUCAGCAUGCUACGGUGAAUACGUUCCCGGGUCU